GCACCUCGACUCUCUCUUUCCACAUGCGGGCUUCCCUGCGUUCCGCCCUCUCCCAUCGCCACUACAUGCAGGCGCAAAGGCGAAACGGUGCACACACAAACACACACACGCACCCACACAAUCCCCUCUUCCCUCUUGCCCCUUUUCACCGCCAAUGCCACUACCCCCCUCCCUGCAUUGCCGCCGCGAUUCACCCGCUCUCUGUUGUUUGCCUCCCUUGCGAUUCCAUCUCCCUUUCGUUUCCUUUUUGUUUCGUGCCUUCUGUUGAUGUUCGACUUUCGCGCUCCUUCUCAUUUUCCACCUUCAUGCUACCGGCCACCACCCACAGCUGUUCAUUGACAAGCGCGCGCUCUCUUCACCUUCGCAACGCCUCUUCUGCUACUCAAUUUUUUUAUUAUUUUGUGUUCCCGUUUUCUCUUGCCUUCCCGAAUGACGGGGGGGGUACGGAGGGCAUGCCUCUGUGCUUGGUGUCUCACUGUCCAGUGCACCCCCCACUCUGUGUGUGGGUGAGGGGGAGCCAGGCAGCCCCCUAUCGCUGCCAAUGCUGCGCCACCUCUGGUGGUGACCGGGUGAGGCGCCUGCGGCGUAGGGGGUGCGAGCGAUGCAUCGCUGCUGAUGCCGGCGGUGAUGCUGUGGACGGCGCUGCGUCGGGGCGGCCCGCGGCAGUGAGCACGCCUGUACCACCCAUAUGGUAGGCAAGAGUGCCUGCGUGGCUCGAACGCCGUAUUCCACCGCCGGCCCUCGCUGCCCACCGGCGAAGGCCGCCUAAGCCACCCCGAGGGAUGCGCCAGGUGACGACCUGCGAGGCGGGCGGGUGGGUGGCGAUCGGAGGCAGGGGCCGUGCUCCGAUGGGUGAGUUGGCGCAUUGCUGUAAUGCGUCUCUUGUGCUGCCUCACACCAGGCGAUGGGGCCUGUGGCAGGCCCGGUAGAGCUGACAUCAUAUUGUGUCGGAGAGCAAUGGGCGCGUUG
rnacentral:misc_RNA from 1 species